rnacentral:rRNA from 1 species
UCUAUACUGUGAAACUGCGGNUGGCUCAAUANAUCAGUUAUAGUUUAUUUGAUAAUUACUUUACUACUUGGAUAACCGUAUUAAUUCUAGAGCUAAGUACAUGCGAUCAGAGUUUAUCUUUAGUGAUAAACUGUAUUUAUUAGAUACAAACCAUCCUAGCUUGCUAGUCAUAUGGUGAUUCAUAAUAACUAAGCUAAACCAUUCUUUCGGGAGUGGUUACAUCAUUCAAGUUUCUGCCCUAUCAGCUUUGGAUGGUAGUGUAUUGGACUACCAUGGCCUUGACGGGUAACGGAGAAUCAGGGUUCGAUUCCGGAGAGGGAGCCUGAGAGAUGGCUACCACAUCCAAGGAAGGCAGCAGGCGCGUAAAUUACCCAAUCCUGACAUAGGGAGGUAGUGACAAUAAAUAACAAUGCUGGGCUUUUCGAAGUUUAGCAAUUGGAAUGAGAACAAUUUAAAUCCCUUAUCGAGGAUCAAUUGGAGGGCAAGUCUGGU